rnacentral:rRNA from 1 species
UACGGAGGAUGCGAGCGUUAUCCGGAUUUAUUGGGUUUAAAGGGUGCGUAAGCGGGCUUUUAAGUCAGCGGUAAAAAUUCGGGGCUCAACCCCGUCCGGCCGUUGAAACUGGGGGUCUUGAGUGGGCAAGAAGAAGGCGGAAUGCGUGGUGUAGCGGUGAAAUGCAUAGAUAUCACGCAGAACCCCGAUUGCGAAGGCAGCCUUCCGGCGCCCUACUGACGCUGAGGCACGAAAGUGCGGGGAUCGAACAGG